CUAAGAAUAUUCCGCAAUGGACGAAAGUCUGACGGAGCGACGCCGCGUGAUUGAUGAAGUUCUUUGGAACGUAAAGAUCUUUUAUGAGGGAAGAAGUUUAUUGACUGUACCUCAUGAGUAAGGGGCUCCUAAUCUCGUGCCAGCAGGAGCGGUAAUACGAGAGCCCCGAGCGUUAUCCGGAAUUAUUGGGCGUAAAGGGUGCGUAGGUGGUUGUAUUAGUCGUUUGUCAAAUCCUUGGGCUUAACCCAAGAACCGCGAACGAAACGGUACAACUAGAGAGUGUGGGGGGUAUAGGGAACUCAUGGUGUAGGGGUGAAAUCCGUUGAUAUCAUGGGGAACACCAAAAGCGAAGGCACUAUACUAACACAUAUCUGACACUCAAGCACGAAAGCGUGGGGAGCAAACA
rnacentral:rRNA from 1 species